UUGAAUUCUAAUCCUGUCCUCCAAAGUGCUUGCAACUCCUCCCAGCUUGGUGUCACCUGCAAACUUUAUAAGCAUGCUCUCCAUUCCAUUAUUCAAAUCAUUAAUGAAAAUGUUGAAUAGUAUUGGAUCCAGCGCAGACCUCUGCAGGAUCCCAAUAGGUCAUUUAUCCUAUGGAGAGCAUUAGGAGAAGACUCUGUGCAGUUCCCUGGGAAUUUUGUCCUCUUCCAUGGAUUUUCCUGCCCAAUUGUAUGCUCUAGUCUUAAAAUUCUAGUUUAAGAUAAACUAUCCUCAUCUCAAUCUGUGGCAUGACCUUGUAAUUGUAUCUUUAUAUGUAGAAUUUUAGACAGAUAAGGAUACGCAUUAGGUCACAUUUCCAUAGUGUGUCCUCUAAUGUGGCCUAUAAUUAUGCACCUUUGUUAUAAAGACAAGUGAAAAGUAAUCCUGGAUUGCACAGGAUGUGUAAUUAUUUUCCAGGUAUGUAAGUUUAAGGUGUAAUAGUCCAGUUAGCAUCGCCAUACUACAAAUAUACCAUUUUCCAGGAUUAAGUUAUGAAACUACCAUAUCAACCCUGCAAAAAAGAGAAUGAAAUAAUUUUUCUUAUUGUUUGUUGUCAUAAUGGCAUUUCAAGAGAAUAAAUACACACAUUCACUUUCAGUAAAUAAUUUCUGAAAAGGAUAAUAUGUCCACAGAAUAUAUGUCUUGUUGUUGAUGUUUUAUUGGAAAGGUUUUCUUCAUCAGCCUUCAUAGCUCAGAUUUAUAUUUUUGGGGGUUUUCUUGUUGUACCAUGAACUUUAUGGACAAUACAGCUUAAUAAAUCUGAUUUGGCUCCAAAGAGAAAUCCACCCCCUUAAAAACAAAAUAAAUACCACCACCACCACCACACUGGUAGAUAGAUAAGCUUACAAUGUCUGGUACUCUGUUUUUUUAAAUUAUGUUUUUAAAGGGAGUGUAUUGUGUGAUUUAAUUACACUAGAAUAUAUUUAUUUAAAUGGCUGGAAAUUUUAAAGUGUGGUUUAAAGCAGCUUUGCGGAAUUGUCAUGAAAAUGUAUCAGCCCCGGUAUAAAAUCUAUUCCCCCCCUUAUGCUAUGAUAAUAAAAAAACCUAAUAUUUUGCUUUCCCAUCA